GGAAUAUAAGAAACCGUCUCUUAAUUUUUAACUAAAAAAACUAAGAACCGGUUCUUAGCUUUUUUAGUUAAAAGUUAACAGACAGUUUCUUAUAUUCC
rfam:Brassica napus, WGS project CCCW01000000 data, contig: 13471